AUUUGAUGAAAACAUGCUAUACAUCCAGAUGGCCCAAAAAGCUCCAAGUAGUAUAACCACAAAGAUAUAUUCACCUGGACAUGUGGACAAACUGUUGAAAGAUGAGAAAAUCAAUUCAUCAUCAAUACGAAACCAUAAUAAUAACAGAUACAAGAAACAAUACAGGCAGCCGGUCCCAGCACCCGAAAAGAAGCUCCCCGCCUCCAUCCCAGGCUCCUAGGGCAGAGAAGGUGAGCCGCAUGGGUGCCAGAAGCACCCCCCCACACCCGGGGAAAUGAGAAAACACAUAAACAAGCCUCAAAAACAGAGUUCCAGAUCACCUACAGCAACCCCAAAGGGAAACGAGAUGGAACAAUCUGAUACUCAACCACCUGGACUUUCUGAACUGGCAACAAAAGAGGAUCUGGGAAAAAUGAAAUCAGAAAUAAUUACUCAGAUAACAGCAAAGAUUUUGCUCAUGGUGCAAGACAUGAUUAAUAAAUCUAGAGAGGACACAGAUAAAAAAAUAGAGGAUCUGAGGAGCAUGAUGGAAUCCCAACAUAGGAAACAAAUGGAAUCCAUAAAACAUAUACAAACAGAUUUCCAAGAGAUUAAAAACUCCAUCGAAAGUCUGCGCAGCAGAAUGAACCAAUGUGAGGAUAGAAUUUCACAUAUAGAAGAUAAGAUUGCAAUUAGUGAGGAGGAAAAGAAAAAUUGCUUUAAAAUUGUAAGGGAACACAAGAAAUCAAUCCAGCAGCUGCUAGACGAUGCAAAGAAGAAUAACAUAAGACUGAUUGGAGUCAAUGAAGAAAGAGGAGAGAGUGCAGAUGACAUAAAAAAGCUUCACAAGUGAUGGCAGAAAACUUCCCAAGGAAGGGAAAAGAACGUGACAUACAGAUAAGUGAGGCAUAUAGGACUCCAGCUAGCCUUAAUCAAAAAAAAUCUACACAUAGGCAUAUAAUAGUUAGCAUUCCAGAAAUCCAACAGAAGAACAAAAUUCUACAAGCAGUGAGAGAAAAGAAACAAAUCACAUACAAAGGAAAGCCCAUUAGAAUCACAG
rnacentral:lncRNA from 1 species